AUACUUACCUCGCAGGGGAGAUACCAUGAUCACGAAGGUGGUUUUCCCAGGGCGAGGCUUAUCCAUUGCACUCCGGAUGUGCUGACCCCUGCGAUUUCCCCAAAUG
rnacentral:snRNA from 1 species